GGAGCGGUAAUUCAGUUGAUUCGACUUUUUAUAAAAAGACAAGCGGCCUGUCACAUCGGGGGUCGCGGGUUCGAGUCCCGUCCACUCCGCCA
rnacentral:tRNA from 1 species